UUUUCUUUUAUUAGUGAAAUACUGUAGAUUAGAGUUUUUGAUUUAUAAAUUAGAAAAACAAGAAUAUUUCUAGAUAGAUGAGUAUUUUUUUCUGAGUUUUUCAUCAAUAUGUUGUAGUUUUAAAUAAUUUUCUUAAAAUUUCCUAUUUUUUGAAAGUUUUCAUUUAUUCAAGAAAUACUGUAGAUUUGAGUUUGUGAUUUAGAAAUUAGGAUGACAAGAAUAUUUGUGAAUAGUUGAGUAUUUUUUCAGAGUUUUUUAUCACUAUCUUGUAUUUUAAAAUAAUUUUCUUAAAAACUGCUAUUUUUGGAAAGUUUUCAUUUUUUUAGGAAUAUUGUAGAUUUGAGUUUGUUAUUUAGAAAUUCGGAUAACAAGAAUAUUUGUGGAUAGUUGAGUAUUUUUUCUGAGUUUUUCAUGAAUAGUUUGUAUUUUUAAAUAAUUUUCUUAAAAACUGCUAUUUUUGGAAAGUUUUCAUUGUUUUGAGGAAUAUUGUAGAUUUGAGUUUGUUAUUUAGAAAUUCGAAUAACAAGAAUAUUUGUGGAUAGUUGAGUAUUUUUCUGAGUUUUUCACGAAUAAGUUGUAUUUUUAAAUAAUUUUUUUAAAAACUGCUAUUUUAGGAAAGUUUUCAUUUACUAGAGAUAUACUAUAGAUUAAAGUUUGUGAUUUAGAAAUUAGAAAAACAAGGAUAUUUCUAGAUAGAUGAGUAUUUUUUUCUGAGUUUUUCAUCAAUAUGUUGUAGUUUUAAAUAAUUUUCUUAAAAUUUGCUAUUUUUGUAAAGUUUUCAUUUAUUCAAGAAAUACUGUAGAUUUGAGUUUGUGAUUUAGAAAUUAGGAUGACAAGAAUAUUUCUGAAUAGUUGAGUAUUUUUUCAGAUUUUUCAUCAAUAUGUUGUAGUUUUAAAUAAUUUUCUUAAAAUUUGCUAUUUUUGAAAAGUUUUCAUUUAUUCAAGGAAUACUGUAGAUUUGAGUUUGUGAUUUAGAAAUUAGGAUAACAAGAAUAUUUGUGAAUAGUUGAGUAUUUUUUCAUAGUAUUUCAUCACUAGCUUGUAUUUUCAAAUUAUUUUCUUAAAAACUUCUAUUUUUGGAAAGUUUUCAUUUUUUUAAGAAAAGUUGUGGAUUUGGGUUUGGGGUUUACUAAUUCGGAUAACAAGAAUAUUUGUGGAUAGUUGAGUAUUUUUUCUGAGUUUUUCAUCAAUAUAUUGUAGUUUUAAAUAAUUUUCUUAAAAUUUGCUAUUUUUGUAAAGUUUUCAUUUAUUCAAGAAAUACUGUAGAUUAGAGUUUGUGAUUUAGAAAUUAGGAUGACAAGAAUAUUUGUGAAUAAUUGAGUAUUUUUUCAGAGUUUUUCAUCACUAGCUUGUAUUUUUAAAUAAUUUUCUUAAAAAACUGAUAUUUUUGGAAAGUUUUCAUUUUUUGAGGAAUAUUGUAGAUUUGAGUUUGUGAUUUAGAAAUUAGGAUGACAAGAAUAUUUGUGAAUAGUUGAGUAUUUUUUCAUCACUAUCUUGUAUUUUUAAAUAAUUUUCUUAAAAACUGCUAUUUUUGAAAAGUUUUCAUUUUUUUGAGGAAUAUUGUAGAUUUGGGUUUGUUAUUUAGAAAUUCGGAUAACAAGAAUAUUUGUGGAUAGUUGAAUAUUUUUUCUGAGUUUUUCAUGAAUAGGUUGUAUUUUUGAAUAAUUGUUUAAAAACUGCUAUUUUAGGAAAGUUUUCAUUUACUAGAGAAAUACUGUAAAUUAGAGUUUGUGAUUUAGAAAUUAGAAAAACAAGAAUAUUUCUAGAUAGAUGAGUAUUUUUUCUGAGUUUUUCAUCAAUAUGUUGUAGUUUUAAAUAAUUUUCUUAAAAUUUGCUAUUAGGUUGGAUCGGAUGUCAUUUAUUCAAGAAAUAAUUUAGAUUUGAGUUUGUGAUUUAGAAAUUAGGAU